GACGAACGCUGGCGGCGUGCCUAAUACAUGCAAGUCGAGCGGACUGAAUGGGAGCUUGCUCUUGUUCGGUCAGCGGCGGACGGGUGAGUAACACGUGGGCAACCUGCCCGCAAGACCGGGAUAACUCCGGGAAACCGGAGCUAAUACCGGAUAACACCGAAGACCGCAUGGUCUUUGGUUGAAAGGCGGCGCAAGCUGCCGCUUGCGGAUGGGCCCGCGGCGCAUUAGCUAGUUGGUGAGGUAACGGCUCACCAAGGCGACGAUGCGUAGCCGGCCUGAGAGGGUGGCCGGCCACACUGGGACUGAGACCCGGCCCAGACUCCUACGGGAGGCAGCAGUAGGGAAUCUUCCGCAAUGGGCGAAAGCCUGACGGAGCGACGCCGCGUGAGCGAAGAAGGCCUUCGGGUCGUAAAGCUCUGUUGUGAGGGACGAAGGAGCGCCGUUUGAAGAAGGCGGCGCGGUGACGGUACCUCACGAGGAAGCCCCGGCUAACUACGUG
rnacentral:rRNA from 1 species